rnacentral:rRNA from 1 species
CCUACGGGUGGCAGCAGUGAGGAAUAUUGGUCAAUGGGCGCGAGCCUGAACCAGCCAAGUCGCGUGAGGGAGGACGGUCCUAUGGAUCGUAAACCUCUUUUGUCGGGGAGCAAAAUGCGCCACGCGUGCCGUUCCGAGUGUACCCGAAGAAAAAGCAUCGGCUAACUCCGUGCCAGCAGCCGCGGUAAUACGGAGGAUGCGAGCGUUAUCCGGAUUUAUUGGGUUUAAAGGGUGCGCAGGCGGACGUUAAAGUCAGCGGUAAAAGUUAGAGGCUCAACCUCGGCGAGCCGUUGAAACUGGGUGGCUUGAGUGAGUGAGAAGUAUGCGGAAUGCGUGGUGUAGCGGUGAAAUGCAUAGAUAUCACGCAGAACCCCGAUUGCGAAGGCAGCAUACCGGCGCUUAACUGACGCUCAUGCACGAAAGCGUGGGGAUCGAACAGGAUUAGAUACCCGAGUAGUC